AUGAACGCUGGCGGCGUGCUUAACACAUGCAAGUCGAACGGUGAAGCCCAGCUUGCUGGGUGGAUCAGUGGCGAACGGGUGAGUAACACGUGAGCAACCUGCCCCUGACUCUGGGAUAAGCGCUGGAAACGGCGUCUAAUACUGGAUACGAGUAGCGACCGCAUGGUCAGUUACUGGAAAGAUUUAUUGGUUGGGGAUGGGCUCGCGGCCUAUCAGCUUGUUGGUGAGGUAAUGGCUCACCAAGGCGUCGACGGGUAGCCGGCCUGAGAGGGUGACCGGCCACACUGGGACUGAGACACGGCCCAGACUCCUACGGGAGGCAGCAGUGGGGAAUAUUGCACAAUGGGCGCAAGCCUGAUGCAGCAACGCCGCGUGAGGGAUGACGGCCUUCGGGUUGUAAACCUCUUUUAGCAGGGAAGAAGCGAAAGUGACGGUACCUGCAGAAAAAGCGCCGGCUAACUACGUGCCAGCAGCCGCGGUAAUACGUAGGGCGCAAGCGUUAUCCGGAAUUAUUGGGCGUAAAGAGCUCGUAGGCGGUUUGUCGCGUCUGCUGUGAAAUCCGGAGGCUCAACCUCCGGCCUGCAGUGGGUACGGGCAGACUAGAGUGCGGUAGGGGAGAUUGGAAUUCCUGGUGUAGCGGUGGAAUGCGCAGAUAUCAGGAGGAACACCGAUGGCGAAGGCAGAUCUCUGGGCCGUAACUGACGCUGAGGAGCGAAAGGGUGGGGAGCAAACAGGCUUAGAUACCCUGGUAGUCCACCCCGUAAACGUUGGGAACUAGUUG
rnacentral:rRNA from 1 species